rnacentral:rRNA from 1 species
GAUGAACGCUGGCGGCGUGCCUAAUACAUGCAAGUCGAGCGAACAGACGAGGAGCUUGCUCCUCUGACGUUAGCGGCGGACGGGUGAGUAACACGUGGAUAACCUACCUAUAAGACUGGGAUAAUUUCGGGAAACCGGAGCUAAUACCGGAUAAUAUAUUGAACCGCAUGGUUCAAUAGUGAAAGACGGUUUUGCUGUCACUUAUAGAUGGAUCCGCGCCGCAUUAGCUAGUUGGUAAGGUAACGGCUUAUCAAGGCGACGAUGCGUAGCCGACCUGAGAGGGUGAUCGGCCACACUGGAACUGAGACACGGUCCAGACUCCUACGGGAGGCAGCAGUAGGGAAUCUUCCGCAAUGGGCGAAAGCCUGACGGAGCAACGCCGCGUGAGUGAUGAAGGUCUUCGGAUCGUAAAGCUCUGUUAUUGGGGAAGAACAAAUGUGUAAGUAACUAUGCACGUCUUGACGGUACCUAAUCAAAAAGCCACGGCUAACUACGUG